rnacentral:rRNA from 1 species
AUUGAACGCUGGCGGAAUGCUUUACACAUGCAAGUCGAGCGGCAGCGCGGGGCAACCUGGCGGCGAGCGGCGAACGGGUGAGUAACACAUCGGAACGUACCUUGUAGUGGGGGAUAACUAUCCGAAAGGAUAGCUAAUACCGCAUACGACCUGAGGGAGAAAGCGGGGGAUCGCAAGACCUAGCGCUGGAAGAGCGGCAGAGGUCCGCUUAGCUAGUUGGUAGGGUAAAGGCCUCCCAAGGCGACGAACGGUAGCGGGUCUGAGAGGACGGCCCGCCACACUGGGACUGAGAAACGGCCCAGACUCCUACGGGAGGCAGCAGUGGGGAAUUUUGGACAAUGGGGGCAACCCUGAUCCAGCCAUUCCGCGUGAGUGAAGAAGGCCUUCGGGUUGUAAAGCUCUUUCGGCAGGAACGAAACGGCUCCCUCUAACAUAGGGGGCUAAUGACGGUACCUGAAGAAGAAGCACCGGCUAACUACGUGCCAGCCGCCGCGGUAAAAC